rnacentral:rRNA from 1 species
UACGGAGGAUGCAAGCGUUAUCCGGAUUCAUUGGGUUUAAAGGGUGCGUAGGCGGCUCUUUAAGUCAGUGGUGAAAUCCUGCCGCUUAACGGUAGAAUUGCCAUUGAUACUGAAGAGCUUGAGUACAGUUGAGGUAGGCGGAAUGUGUAGUGUAGCGGUGAAAUGCUUAGAUAUUACACAGAACACCAAUUGCGAAGGCAGCCUACUAAGUUGUUACUGACGCUGAUGCACGAAAGCGUGGGGAGCGAACAGG